rnacentral:rRNA from 1 species
GACGAACGCUGGCGGCGUGCUUAACACAUGCAAGUCGAACGGUGAAGCGCCUUCCUUUUUGGUGGGUGUGGAUGAGUGGCGAACGGGUGAGUAACACGUGAGUAACCUGCCCCCUUCUUCUGGAUAACCGCAUGAAAGUGUGGCUAAUACGGGAUAUUCUGGGUCUGUCGCAUGAUGGGUCUGGGAAAGAUAUUGUUUCGGUGGGGGAUGGGCUCGCGGCCUAUCAGCUUGUUGGUGGGGUGAUGGCCUACCAAGGCGGUGACGGGUAGCCGGCCUGAGAGGGUGGACGGUCACACUGGGACUGAGACACGGCCCAGACUCCUACGGGAGGCAGCAGUGGGGAAUAUUGCACAAUGGGCGAAAGCCUGAUGCAGCGACGCCGCGUGAGGGAUGGAGGCCUUCGGGUUGUGAACCUCUUUCGCCAGUGAAGCAGGCCUGCCUCGUUUGUGGGUGGGUUGACGGUAGCUGGAGAAGAAGCGCCGGCUAACUUCGUG